GAUGAACGCUGGCGGCGUGCCUAAUACAUGCAAGUCGAACGAACAGAUGAGGAGCUUGCUCCUCUGACGUUAGCGGCGCACGGGUGAGUAACACGUGGAUACCCUACCUAUAAUACUGGUAUAACUUCGAAAAACCGGAUCUAAUACCAGAUAAUAUAUUGAACCGCAUGGUUGAAUAGUAAAAUACGGCUUUGCUGGCACGUCUCGAUGGAUCCGCGCCGCAUUAGCUGGUUGGUACGUUAACGGGUUACGAAGGGAACUAUGCGUAGACGAGGUGAGAGGGUGAUAGGCCACACGGGAACUGAGCCAGGGUCAAUAGUACUACGGGAGGCACCAGUAGGGAACGUUACGCAAUGGGCGAAAGCAUGACGGAGCAACGCGGAGUGAGUGAUGAAGGUGUUCCGAUCGUAAUAAUCUGUUACGAGGGAAGAACAACUGUGUCAGUAAACAUGGCCGUAUUGACGGUAACUAAUAAGAAAGCAACGGCUAACUACGUG
rnacentral:rRNA from 1 species